rnacentral:rRNA from 1 species
AACGAACGCUGGCGGCGUGCUUAACACAUGCAAGUCGAGCGAGAAAGGGGGGGCAACCCCCUGAGUAGAGCGGCGCACGGGUGAGUAACGCGUGGGUAACCUACCCCCAGGCGGGGGAUAACUACUCGAAAGGGUGGCUAAUACCGCAUGAGACCACGGGAUCUUCGGAUCCUGAGGCUAAAGAUCGCACCGGCUUGCCGGUGCUGUCACCAGGGGAUGGGCCCGCGUCCGAUUAGCUAGUUGGUGAGGUAAUGGCUCACCAAGGCUCCGAUCGGUAGCUGGUCUGAGAGGAUGAUCAGCCACACUGGAACUGAAACACGGUCCAGACUCCUACGGGAGGCAGCAGUGAGGAAUAUUGCGCAAUGGGGGAAACCCUGACGCAGCAACGCCGCGUGGGUGAAGAAGGCCUUCGGGUCGUAAAGCCCUUUCGGACGGGACGAACGCUCCGCGGUGACAAGCCGCGGAGUCUGACGGUACCGUAGGAAGAAGCACCGGCUAACUCCGUGCCAGCAGCCGCGGUAAUGCGGAGGGUGCGAGCGUUGUUCGGAAUUACUGGGCGUAAAGCGCGUGUAGGCGGCCUUGCAAGUCAGGCGUGAAAGCCCUCGGCUUAACCGGGGAAGUGCGUCUGAAACUGCUUGGCUUGAGUACGGGAGAGGGAGGCGGAAUUCCCAGUGUAGAGGUGAAAUUCGUAGAUAUUGGGAGGAACACCGGUGGCGAAAGCGGCCUCCUGGACCGAUACUGACGCUGAGACGCGAAAGCGUGGGGAGCAAACAGGAUUAGAUACCCUGGUAGUCCACGCGGUAAACGAUGGGCACUAGGUGUGGGGGGUAUCCACUCCUCCCGUGCCGAAGCUAACGCAUUAAGUGCCCCGCCUGGGGAGUACGGCCGGCAGGUUAA